GCAUAUAGAGUGCUGACUAGGAUAUCAGCCCUUCACGUCCUUUNCAAACGCCUUUGAUCAUUGGAAUGAUCGCAAUUUAAACACUUUUUAAAGUAUCAAUUGGAGGGCAAGUCUGGUGCCAGCAGCCGCGGUAAUUCCAGCUCCAAUAGCGUAUAUUAAAAUUGUUGCAGUUAAAAAGCUCGUAGUUGAAUUUCUGUUAAAAAUAACCGGUCUGCUUUUAUUAAAAGUGGUAUCUUGGUGUGUUUUUAGCAAUAAUGUCCUUUGAAAUGUUUUUUACUUUAUUGUAAUAAAUAAUAUUCAGGAUUUUUACUUUGAGAAAAUUAGAGUGUUUCUAGCAGGCUAACGCUUUGAAUACUGCAGCAUGGAAUAAUAAAAUAGGAUUUUAGUUCUACAUUAUUGGUUUUAAGAACUAAAUUAAUGAUUGAUAGGGACAGUUGGGGGCAUUUGUAUUUAACUGUCAGAGGUGAAAUUCUUAGAUUUGUUAAAGACAAACUACUGCGAAAGCAUUUGCCAAAGAUGUUUUCAUUAAUCAAGAACGAAAGUCAGGGGAUCGAGGGAAGCGCAAAUUACCGAAUUCUAUCCCAAAACAAGGCAACGCCAGUGAGUGCACGCAAGAGAGG
rnacentral:rRNA from 1 species